AAAACACCGGUUCUCGUUCGAUCACCGAAGUUAAGCAUCGUAGAGCCAGGUCAGUACUUAGAUGGGGACCGCUUGGGAACACCUGGUACUGUAA